AAUUUUGAGAGUCUAUAGGAGAUGAAAUAACUCCGAAUGCAAAUAGUGACCAGCCAUUAUUGGAGCAGAAUUCUCCAAUAACAUCCCCUUCACAAAAUGGAUCUGAAAGGGUUCUCAUGGCAAAAAGAGCAAAGCAAAUGAAAGCAAGUGCAAAGCUCA